AGUCCCAGCCACCUUAGGUCCCCGCUCCGUGGCCCUGGGCAAGUGGCGAAACCUCUCUGGGCUUCAGAGAGCACCUGCCUCACGGGGUCCACCGCAGGGUGAGUGGAAGCUACCGUGUGCUGAGCAUUUGCUGUGUCCCGCCACCAGCAGGCCGCACCCCAAGGCAGUGAGUGACCCGGCCGUUCGGCCCCGGCGGCGGCGGAGUGGGCUCCGCUCCCCCGCUCCCCAGACCCCGCCUGAGGCCCCCGCGCGUGGUAGCGGCCGGGCGCAUUUCCCUCGGUGCGCGCGACGGGCCACGCGCCACCCGCAGAGUGGCGCCCGCUCUGCCCUGUGCCGGCGGGGUGGGGGCCACACGCGGAGGGCACACACCCCCGACAGCCCAGCGAAGCACGAAAAACACACAGAUCGCUGGCGGUGGUCUUUUCUAACCUUGACGACAAAAACACCCUUUCAUGCGCCACAUGAGCGAACGGAACCACGACUGAUUCACAGCUAACAAGGGUUCUCCCGGGAACUGUGGGAGUGGAGCCCCCUCCCCACUGUCCCCACCUCCACACUGUGGGGCAGGGGGCUGGGGGCACGCUGGCCACCUCUAGGGCGGAGUGGCUGGGGUAGGAGUUGGCCUGGGGAUGGGUGGAGGUGGGGGGAGUGUCUGGCACGGGAAGGUGGACGGGCUGGGGAGCAGGGGCUCCUGAGCCCCUGGCGGGGGGCGGUUCAUUACCCUUUGCUGGGUGCGGGGAACCCUGGGGGCUGUGGGGAGCCACUGGGGAAGUGGCCAGGUGUGAUUUACACUUGGAAACACCCUUCUGGCCUUAGGGGGGCCCAAUCAGCGGGGGUGGCUCAGGUUAGGGUGCAGUGGGAAACAGGGUUGGCUGGCAGAGAGGGGGAGAGGCCUAGGUCAUGCCCAAUGUCUGGCUGGAGUGCUGAGGAGAUGGCAAGGUGGGGUGGCGGGGGGGGGGGGGGGGGGGGGGGGGGGGGGGGGGGGGCUGGACAGAGGGAGGGGGUCCUGAAGUGAAGAGGGAGGGUGGCCCUCCCCAGGGACAGCAUGGCAAACCAGGACACAGCCCUGGACCUACCAGUGCCAGCUCCCCAGGCCUGCAGUGGGCUCUGUGGGCACCAGGCGGGCUGAUCCACACCAGCUCCCCAGCACUGGUUGGAAGCCUCGGGGGCCAUCCCAGGGCCUUUCUUUCUGUCUCUCCCAAGAACCCCCCUUCAAGCACAACGGAAAGGAGUCCCCUUCUCCACAUCCGCCUUCUUCCUUAGUCCUCCUAAGGGGCUUCCCUUCUCCACUCCUGCCAUCCUCCCCGUGGUGCCCACCGGGCCUUGGAAAGCAGAAACCAGGCCCCUCUCGUCCCCUGGAAAAGUGCCAAUAUAAAAUCCAGGCUCCUCAUGGCUCCCAAACCCAGACUUGAUCUUACCUCCCUUCGCUCUCCCCCCGGCUCCUCCCUUGAGCCCCCAGUGCUGCCCCCAGAGUUGCUGUCAGUUCAUUCCCUUCUCACCUGCUUUUUCUCUUCCUUCACACAGUCUCCCUGAGGAGUCCUGCCAGGCUACCUCCUCGGUAUUUUGCUCCCAACUCAAAUGUCACCUUCUUCUGGAAAAAGCAGCGACCUCUGUCACAUUAUCUGGCUUUAUUGUUUUUUUUUUUUUUAAUACACUUAACCAGUGUUGGAAGUUAUUUCGUGUUCUUGUUUAUCAUCUUCUCCCCUGACCAGAAUAUAAGCUCCAUGAGUAUAGGGACCAUGUCUGUCUUGCUCAAGGUUCUGUCACCACAGCUGGACCAGUGCUGGGCACCCAGGGGAAACCCAGGAGACACUUAUUGCCUGAGGGAACUGACCCCUGGGCUGAACAGGUAUGUCGCCAGCUCUAAGGUGGCACGUUGUGACAGGUGACCCAGGACUGAGCAGUUUGGGAGAAGGAGUUCUCCUGGGGGGAUCUGGGGAAACCUUGAAGAAGAGGAAGGAUUUGAAUUGUGACAAGAACAGGUACCACUUCUUGAGGAAAUUGACAGUGCUUUUGUGGGCACAGGAAGGUGGAUGAACAAGGACUUGGAGGAGGGAAGGCUAGGGUUUGGGACAGCUGGUGUAUAAGAUCUAGAUGUGGAGGGGCGUCUUGGUGGCUCAGUCGGUUAAGCAUCCAACUUUGGCUCAGGUCAUGAUUUCACGGUUGGUGAGUCUGAGCCCUCCAUUGGGCUCGGGGCUGACAGUGUGGAGCCUGCUUGGGAUUCUCUCUCUCUCUCUCUCUCUCUCUCUCUCUCUCUCUCCCCCCCCCCCCGCCUCUUCCCCAUGUGUGCAUGCAUGCAUGUGCUCUCUCUCUCUCAAAAUAAAUAAACUUAAAAAAAAAAAAGUUCUAGCUGUGGAAUGCUAGGGACAUGGGAGAUUAAGUUGGAAAAGUAGAUUGUGGCUAUGCUCUGAGGGCAUCUUGUUAUGGACUGAAUUGUGCCCCUGCCCCCCAGGAUUCAUAUGUUGAAGUCCUAACCCUUCUAUAACCUCCAGAUGUGACUAUUUGGAGAUAGGGUCUUUAAAGAGGGAAUCAAGGUUAAAGAGAGGUUAUAUGGGUGGGCCCUCAUCCAAUAUGACGGGUGUCCUUACACAGGGGGAAAGCCACCAGGGCUGCACGUACAAUGAGAACAUUCCCAGCAAGGGAAUGGCCAUCUGUAAGCCAAGGAUCAAGACCUCAGAAGACCUCGGAAGACCCAGCCCUGCACACACCUUCUUCUGGGACUUUCAGCCCCCAGGACGGUCAGUUUCUGUUGUUUAAGCCUCUGUUCUGUCAUCUUUUGUUUGGGCAGCCCUAGCAAAUGACUAUAGGUCUUAAGCUUUCUAUAUUUUAAUUUUAUCUCUUUUUUUUUUUUUUU
rnacentral:lncRNA from 1 species